AAGACACUAGUAAAAAGCGCGAACUACAUUGCUUUGUCAAGGCAAAAUUGUGGGUUGAAAUCCCACGUGUCUUA
rnacentral:tRNA from 2 species